CCCUUCCCGGUACGGGACCCCCACCUUCGCUCCCGGGAGCCCCGCUGCACCCCAGAGUUCCAUUCCUGCUUCCCCAGUGCGAGUGCGGCCGAGCGCUGACUUUUGGGGGCUCCCUUCCCCGUCUCACUGGGUCCCUCUGCGGCUCCCCCGCCCGCUGUCCCGCCUCAGACGUGGCUGCACCCCGGAGCGGGGCGCCGGCCGAGACCUGAGACGUGGCGAUGCCGCUCUGCCGGCCUCGGCUCCAGUGCUUGAAUUUCAGCCACAUCCCUAAGCUGCCAUCUCAGACCAGAGGAACAGGGAGGGGGCUUUCUGGAAAGAACAUCACCUGGAAGAAAUCAGGACAUGACUGUGGGCCAUGAGUGACCUUCAAGGAAAGCCAGGUCUGGAUUCCCACCUGGAAGUUGAUUGUGAUGGUGGAAAUACCAGGCACUUGUCGGGUGCAACGGCUCAUGCCUGUAAUCCCAGCACUUUGGGAGGUCGAGCAGGACAAUGUGAUUCCUUACUGAUAGAGGGAAUUCAGUUCCUCCAGGUCUGGCAGCCCUGAAGCUUCAUCCCUCAACAUUGCGGCCUAUGCAGCCAGUGCCCCUCCCCCUUUCUCCCACCCGGCUUUCCCAUCUGCAACCAAGCUUGUUGCACACCAUGUGCCAGACGUACGGCUGCACAUUCAAAAGAGAAUGAAAAGACACACAGAGGCGAUCCCUGCCCUUUCAGAAGUUACAGCUUACCGAGUUACAGCUUACUGAGUUAUGGAACCCACAAUUCUGGAGGCUGGAAAGUUCAAGAUCAAGGCACCAGCAGGUGAAGGCAGAGUCUCUGCUUCCAAGAUGGUGCCUCGUUUCUGCGUCCUCUGGAGGAGAGGAACACUGUGUCCACACAUGGCUGAAGAGCUGGAUGGAGAAAAGGGCCCAGCUAAUUCCCUCCAGCCCUUUUACAAGCCGCUAAUCCCACUUAUGAGAUCACAGCCCUUACAGCCUAAUCACCUCCGAAAGGCCCCACCUCUUAAUACUGUUGGAUUGAGAAUUAACUUUCAACAUGAAUUUUUGGGAGGAUACAGUCAAACCAUAGCAUUCUUCCCCUGCCCCCUCGAAAUUCAUGUCCUCAUAUAGAAAAUUCAUCCCAAAAUUGAUAACUUAUUGCCAAAAUUCUUAACGUGUUCCAGCAUUAACUUUAAAGUCUUAAGUCCAAGGUCUCAUUUAAACAUGAUCUAUAUCAGAUACAGCUGAGACUGAAGGUACAAUUCAUCCUAAGGCAAACUCCUCCAGCUCUGAGCCUAUGAAAUCAAACAAGUGAUGUGCUUCCAAAAUACGGUAGUGGUACAGGCAUAGGAUAACAUUCCCAUUCAGGAAGGGAGAAAUGGGCAAGAAGAAAGUGUCACAGGCCCCAUGGAAGUCCAAAACCCAACAAGGCAAACUGUUAAAUCUUGAGGUUUGAGAAUGGUCUUUUUUGAGUCCAUGUUCAUCCGUACACACUGGGGCAAGGGUUGGACAUCCAAGGGUCCAACCAGCCCUACCCCCAUGGCUUUGCUGGGCACAGCCCAUGCUGUAGCUCUCACAAGUUGGAGUCUAGUGCCUGUAGCUCUCCUAGGCUGGCAUUGCACACUGGUGGCUCUACCAGUUUGGGAUCUCGGGGGCAACCCUGACCCCACAGCUCUGCUGGUCAUUACCCUAGUAGGCACCCUCUGCACCUAUCUCACCUUUGGGACAGUGCUCUGGGCUCUCCAAGACAUCUUUUGAAAUCUACAUGGAGAUAGCCAUGACUCCACAGCUCAUACACUCUAUAUAAAUGCAGAGUUGGCACUUCAAGAAUGUCACCAAGGCUUAUUACUUGUACCUUUCAGAAGGGUGGCCCAAGCCACAUCUGAGCCCACUUGAGCCCCAGCUGGAGCAGCUAAAAAGCACUGUGUUAGAAUGCGGGGAACAAAUAUCUGAGGAGGCCGCAGGCAGUGAGCCCUGAGGUGCCACAGGUGCCCUGGGCCCCUCCCUUGAAACCUUUCUGACUUGAAGGCCCUGGUACUCUGGGAUCAUGAUGGGAGCGGCAGCCUCAAAGAUUGAAAUGCCUCUGGAAUCAUUCUUCUAUUAUCCGGAUAAAUAGCGUCUGGCUUCCUUAUAGCCACACUAAUAUCAUAUCAAACGUUAUGUUUGCUUAGCCAUGCCCUUGGUAUUCUCUGAAUAUUCAUUUGCAAUUACUAUUCAGAGGGCUGAGCAUGCCCUUUGAACCUUUACAACCUGGAAAGACUGAAAAUUUUCCAUAUCUUUAAGUUCUGCUUCCCUUUUUAUUGUAAAUUCAUUUUUAAUUCAUUUCUCUUCUCUUGCAUUUUAUGAUAAACAGUCAAGAAAAGCCAUGUAGUACCUUGAACACUUUGCUUAGAGAUUUCUUUCACCAAAUAUCCUAGUAUAUCACUCUUAAAUUCUGCCCUCCACGGAGCACUAGAAUGCAGACACAAUUCAGCCAAGUUCUUUGCCACUUUAUAACAAAGAUAGCCUUUCCUCCAGUUUCCAGAACAUUUCCAUCUGACACCUCACCAAAAUGACCUUUAGCAUCCAUAUUUCUACCAACAUUUUGAUUACAAUCUUUUACAUAAUCUCCAAGAAGACUGAGGCUCUGUCUAUAACUCUUCUUCUGAGCCUUUACCUUUGACAGUCCAUUUAUGGAAAUCUAGGCUUUUUCUAGCCUACUUUGCCAAACUCAGCCUCUACCCAUUACCCAGUUCCAAAGUUGCUUCCACAUUUUCAGGUAUUCACUACAGCAGCACCCCACUACUCAUUACUAAUUUCUGUUUUAGUUCAUUCCAGGUUGCUAUAACAAAAACCUUAAGCUGGUUACUUUAUAAAUAAUAGAAAUAUAUUUCUCAUGGUUCUGAAGACUGAGAAGUCCAAGAUCAAAUCACCAGUAGGUUCAGUAUCUGGUCAUUGCUUCCAAGGCAAAAUUAAUCCUUAUUUUAUUAUCAGCAUUCCAGUGAAUAGAAGAAUCAUAGGCCAAAUACUAACAAAUUCAAGGAUGUUUUAUCAUUAGAAAAUAUGCUAAUAUAAAUCACCUCAUCAACAAAUUUUUAAAAAACCAUAUGAUUAUUUCAAUAGCUGCAGAAUAUGUUUUGAUAAAAUUAAACAUGUGUUUGUCAUUCAAAAAAAAAACCUCUUAGCUAACUAGUAAUAGAAGGGAAUUUACCUAAAUUGACAGACUAUCUACCAAAAAAAAAAAAAAAA
rnacentral:lncRNA from 1 species